rnacentral:rRNA from 1 species
UAUUUUUAAAGGGCCGCGGUAUACUGACCGUGCGAAGGUAGCAUAAUCAUUAGUCUUUUAAUUGAAGGCUUGUAUGAAUGGUUGGACAAAAAGUAAUCUGUCUCAAUUGUAAUAGUUGAACUUAACUUUUAAGUGAAAAGGCUUAAAUACUUUAAGGGGACGAUAAGACCCUAUAAAACUUGACAAUAAAUUAGUUAAAUUAUAAAUUGUUAGUAUAACUUGAUUUUAGUUAAUGUUUGUUGCGUUGGGGCGACGGGAAUAUAAUUAGUAACUGUUCUUAAAUACUCAUUAACAAGUAUAAUUGAAAAAUAAUUGAUCCUUUAUUAAAGAUUAAAAGAUUAAGUUACUUUAGGGAUAACAGCGUAAUCUUCUUUGAGAGUCCUCAUCGACAAGAAGGUUUGCGACCUCGAUGUUGAAUUAAGGUAUCCUUAUAAUGCAG